CGCUGGCGUUGCUAUGGCACCCAGCACUAGACAGAUGCGUCUAGCCGUGUAAACCCUCCCAAUCCGAGCAUAGUUACCUGACCUAAUGGCACUUUCCUUGAAUAACCGCUAUCGAUUUUUCACGCGAAGGCAGCAUCUCCGGGAUCUUUUACCUGAAACCCCAAACAACUUCCGGGCCCAUGCCGGGAUACAGGCCCGAAUAAGCUAUAACCGAAAACCCCAUGUUUGGGAGGGAUUAUCGAAUGCAUCGAUCCUCAUGCUACAGAAAAAUUGCAAACAAUAAUUGGCCGGCCC